AUGCAAGACCGCAAAGUGAUUGCUUAUGCCUCUCGGCAAUUGCGCCCUCACGAAGAGAACUACCCAGUUCACGACCUCGAACUUGCUGCUGUCAUUCAUGCGCUGAAGCAGUGGCAACAUUACCUUCUCGGUAAUCGUUGCGAGAUCUUCACUGACCACCAAAGUCUGAAGUAUCUGUUUACUCAGCCAGACCUGAACCUCCGUCAGCAGAUAUGGAUGGAGAUUGUUGCAGACUUUGACUUGGGAAUUUCCUAUACGCCAGGCAAGGCUAAUGUAAUGGCUGAUGCCUUGAGCCGCAAGUCUUACUGCGACCACCUCCAGGUUCACAAAGUUCAGGCCUCGCUUGUUGAAGAAGUCAGAAAGCUGAACCUCCAUAUUGUUCCUCCGGGUGCACUCGCUCCCCCUCCUAAGGAGUUUCGCAAGAUGAACCUCUGGGUUGUUUCCCAGGGUUCGCUCCAUACCCUGGCUGUCGAACCAGAUCUCUUGGACUCCAUCAAGAGAAUACAUGGUUAUGACUCUGAAGCCCACAAGAUUAAGCGCUACCUCGCAGAAGGAAAGCCCUCAUCCUUCACUAUUGCUGAAGAUGGCACUUUGUACUUCAAGGGCCGCCUAGUGGUGCCAUGUGCAGAGAAAAACCUGGAUAUGACUCAGGAAGUUAUGAAAGAAGCUCAUGUUACGCCUCUAUGUAUCCAUCCUGGUAGUACAAAGAUGUACCAAGACAUCCGUCAUAGAUUCUGGUGGUCUAAUAUGAAGCAAGACAUUGCUCGUUAUGUUGCUGAGUGUGACGUUUGCCGUCGUAUCAAAGCAGAACAUCAAAGGCCUGCUGGAACUCUGCAACCUAUCUCUAUUCCUGAAUGGAAAUGGGACCAUGUUGAGAUGGACUUCGUCACUGGAUUUCCCAAAUCACAGAAAGGUAAUGAUGCUAUUCUUGUCGUCAUUGACCGACUUUCUAAGGUUGCACAUUUUCUGGCAGUCAAAGAAAUGAUCACUGCUAGUCAGCUGGCAACGCUCUAUAUGUCCAGGAUUGUUUCACUCCACGGUAUUCCAUUGGUUAUUAGCUCAGACCAUGGCAGCUUAUUCACUUCAAGAUUCUGGGCAAGUUUCCAAGAAGCUAUGGGAACUCAUCUGUCAUUCAGUACUGCGUUUCAUCCUCAGUCGCAAGGGCAAGUUGAACGUGUCAACCAAGUUCUCGAAGACAUGCUUCGAGCUUGUGUUAUUUCCUUCGGCAAGAAAUGGGAGGAAUCUCUCCCGUAUGCUGAGUUCUCUUAUAAUAAUAGCUAUCAAGCUAGUCUGAAGAUGGCCCCCUUCGAAGUGUUAUAUGGACGAAAGUGUCGAACCCCUCUGAACUGGUCAGAAACUAGGGAACGUCCACUCUUUGGUCCGGAUAUUUUCCAACAUGCCGAAGAACAGGUCCGCAUUAUUCGUGAGAAUCUCAAGACUGCUCAGUCGCGUCAGAAGAGUCAGUAUGACCGUCAUCAUAAAGACAUGGUCUAUCAACCUGGCGAAAAGGCUUAUCUUCGAGUCACACCAAUGAAGGGUGCUCACCGCUUCGGAAUCAAGGGCAAACUAGCUCCUCGCUAUAUUGGCCCAUUCACUAUUCUGGAAAGGCGUGGAAAAGUG
rnacentral:rRNA from 1 species